GACUGGUCCAAAUGCAGUUGUGGUUACAAUUAAUUGAUCACAACCAGUUACAGAAUUCUUUGUUCCUUCUCUAUUCCCACUACCUCACUUGACUAGCCUUAA
ensembl:misc_RNA Y_RNA Y RNA